UACGUAGGGCGCAAGCGUUGUCCGGAAUUAUUGGGCGUAAAGAGCUCGUAGGCGGCUUGUCACGUCGGGUGUGAAAGCCCGGGGCUUAACCCCGGGUCUGCAUUCGAUACGGGCUGGCUAGAGUGUGGUAGGGGAGAUCGGAAUUCCUGGUGUAGCGGUGAAAUGCGCAGAUAUCAGGAGGAACACCGGUGGCGAAGGCGGAUCUCUGGGCCAUUACUGACGCUGAGGCGCGAAAGCGUGGGGAGCAAACAGG
rnacentral:rRNA from 1 species